rnacentral:lncRNA from 1 species
AAUGGCAGCUGCAUCAGUUAAUGCCACAAUUUCAAUGCUUGACUCCAACAUGGAAACAGAUAAGCUCACGUACGAAAUUUUCUCCAUUCUUGAAAACAAAUUCCUUUUUGGCUAUGAUGAUACAAAAACUUCAGAUAAAAUUUCAUCAGCUCCGUUCGCCGGAAACAAGAAUGCCGGCAACGGAAACUUUGGCUAUGAUGAUACAAAAACUUUAGACAAAAAUUCAUCAUCUCCUUUAGCCGGAAACAAGAAUGCCGGCACCGGAAAAGUUAGAAUUUUGACAAUUGAUGCUGGUGGGUCCACUGAUGGUGUCCUUGCCGGAAAAUCUUUGACCCAUUUGGAAGCUACCCUUCGCGAGAAAUCGGGAAAACCAAAUGCUCAUAUUGCUGAUUUUUUCGAUGUUGUCGCUGGCUCGGGCGUCGGCGGUGUACUCGCCGGUCUUUUGUUCACACGUGGGAAUGAUGGGGUACCUAUGUUUACUGCAAAGGAAGCUCUUGAUUUCGUUGUCGAGAAUGGUCGG